CAUCAUCAGGGACUAUUUGGAAGAUAUAAAUGAGAUACCAAAAUCACGCAUGUUUUGGCCUCGUGCUAUAUGGAGUAAAUAUGUUGACAAACUUGAGGAUUUGAAAUACAAGGAGAAUUCUACGCAAGCUGUGCAAUGCCUGAAUGACAUGGUAACUAAUGCCUUGUCGCAUGCUCAGGACUGCCUCAUAUACUUGUCUGAUCUUAAGGAUCUUUCCAACUUUCGAUUUUGUGCCAUCCCCCAGAUCAUGGCUAUUGGAACACUAGCUCUAUGCUAUAAUAAUGUGG
rnacentral:misc_RNA from 1 species